rnacentral:rRNA from 1 species
AUUGAACGCUGGCGGCAUGCUUUACACAUGCAAGUCGAACGAGUGGCGGAAGGGUGAGUAAUGCUUGGGAAUCUAGCUUAGGGCGGGGGAUAACUACGCGAAACUGUAGCUAAUACCGCGUACAAUAGGCGGAGCCCAAGUGGGAUUAGGUGGUUGUGGAGGUAAAGGCUCACCACGCCGACGAUCUCUAGCUGGUUUGAGAGGAUGACCAGCAACGUGGGGACUGAGACACGGCCCAGACUCCUACGGGAGGCAGCAGUGGGGAAUUUUGCGCAAUGGGGGAAACCUGACGCAGCCAUGCCGCGUGAAUGAAGAAGGCCUUCGGGUUGUAAAGCUCUUUCGGUAGCGAAGCGGUACCUACAGAAGAAGCACCGGCUAACUCCGUGCCAGCAGCCGCGGUAAUAC